rnacentral:rRNA from 1 species
AGGACGAACGCUGGCGGCGCGCCUAAUACAUGCAAGUCGAACGGGUACCUCUUCGGAGGGACUAGUGGCGGACGGGUGAGUAACACGUGGGCGACCUGCCUUUGAGUGGGGAAUAACGCUGGGAAACCAGCGCUAAUACCGCAUACGCUCCCUCUUUCGUGAGAGGGAGGAAAGCUUGAUGCGCUCAAAGAGGGGCCUGCGGCGGAUUAGCUAGUCGGUGGGGUAACGGCCUACCGAGGCGACGAUCCGUAGCUGGUCUGAGAGGAUGAUCAGCCACACUGGGACUGAGACACGGCCCAGACUCCUACGGGAGGCAGCAGUAAGGAAUCUUCCACAAUGGGGGCAACCCUGAUGGAGCGACGCCGCGUGGACGAAGAAGCUUCUCGGAGUGUAAAGUCCUUUUCCCUGCGAUGAGACGGACAGUAGCAGGGGAAUAAGCCACGGCUAACUACGUGCCAGCAGCCGC